UGUCUUAAAAAGCGCAUCUUUGAUUAAGACCGCAAGAUUUAGACAUGAAAUUCAAAUUGAGAUGAGCUUCAAAAGGAGCCACAUCAGCAACUGAUUUUCAAUCUGACAGACUGAGCAGAGGACAGAAAGUUGAGUGGGAAGCUCAUCGUGAUAAGAAGGAUGUCCAACACGACUGAUAGAUGGUGAUGACGUUUAAGAACACUCCAAACAGAAUGUUGUGCCAUGUGGGAAAAAAAAAGAAAAUCAUAUCAACAGCAUCUUCCUGCAGCAUGGUUCCCGGGUCCGACUCCUCAGCUUCCACACAGCGUAUUUCAGUAACAGAGGGGAGUCUUGUGUCUAAUUUAUGACAUACAACCAUGAGAGAUUCAUCAUCAAGCUGAAAUUUCAUCACCAGUCCCCUCUUUGAUAUAUUGCUGGAUCUAUCCAAUUGCGUGUUUGUGUGUUCAUGCAGAGAGAUAAUCAUUUGCAGGUAAAUAUGUUUAUUCUAACUUGUCUGUCAGGAGGAUUCAGUGCAAAGGCACUAUCAAUAUGACUGUUGCAUGCUGGUUAUUUGUAAUUUGCCCUCUAUUGCUUUCAUAGCAUCAGGAAAAAAAUGUCACUUUUCUCUAACAGCCACUCAAGUGUAUCACGACUUCACGAGUGACAAGUCACUCUUCUUUCAUGCUAAUCGUGACUCAUGUGUCUUCAUCUGCAUGUGUGGCACAGAUGCGUGUCAUCUGAGCAGUCCAAAACAUUGGAAAUGUGAUCGUGCAGGAAAACAUGUUUUCCCCUCUAUAAUUAUUAAGUCCUUAUUUUCAUCAAAGAUAAUAUUGUAUAAAAAUAUAGCCCAGCCAU